rnacentral:rRNA from 1 species
GACGAACGCUGGCGGCGUGCUUAACACAUGCAAGUCGAACGGAGUGGCGAACGGGUGAGUAUUACGUGAGUAACCUGCCCUCAACUGUGGGAUAAGCCUGGGAAACUGGGUCUAAUACUGCAUAGGUGGGGAUGGGCUCGCGGCCUAUCAGCUUGUUGGUGGGGUGAUGGCCUACCACGGCGGUGACGGGUAGCCGUCCUGAGAGGGGGUUCGCCCACAUUUGGAUUGUGAUACGGCGCAUACUCCUACGGGAGGUAGCAGUGGGGGAUAGUGCACAAUGGGCGCAAGCCUCAUUCCGUGACGCCGCGUGAGUGAGGUAGGCUUUCGGGUUGUAAACCUCUUUCGUUACAUAACGUUUAUGUGCAGAAGAAGCGCCGGCUAACUACGUGCCAGCAGCCGCGGUAAUUC